rnacentral:rRNA from 1 species
ACGGAAGGUCCGGGCGUUAUCCGGAUUUAUUGGGUUUAAAGGGAGCGUAGGCCGGAGAUUAAGCGUGUUGUGAAAUGUAGACGCUCAACGUCUGCACUGCAGCGCGAACUGGUUUCCUUGAGUACGCACAAAGUGGGCGGAAUUCGUGGUGUAGCGGUGAAAUGCUUAGAUAUCACGAAGAACUCCGAUUGCGAAGGCAGCUCACUGGAGCGCAACUGACGCUGAAGCUCGAAAGUGCGGGUAUCGAACAGGAUUAGAUACCCUGGUAGUCCGCACGGUAAACGAUGGAUGCCCGCUGUUGGUCUGAAUAGGUCAGCGGCCAAGCGAAAGCAUUAAGCAUCCCACCUGGGGAGUACGCCGGCAACGGUG